UGUGCUUGGGGCACCCAAAGGCUGGAGCCAGGGGCCUCCUGCGCACGCUCUGCCUGGCCUUCCUCACAGCACCCGUGGGCAGGAGGAGCUGAACAUGAGCAACCCCACCAGACAGAAGACCACCACGUCCGGCUGUUCCCCAUCUCCAGCGGGGCCAGAUGCUGGCAGGCUUCAGCGAGGAGGCUUGGGGCAGCCCUUUGGCCAGGCUGUGAGACUCACCAAAUCUCAGCCCUGGGUGAGCUCUUACAGAUCACCCAAGCCAGGCCAGCCUCCCAGCCUCCCUGAGGGCCGUCCUGGCUGCCGAGGACAGAGGUCGGCGGACAGAGGCUGAGGACAGCAGCACAAUCUGGGCCAUGAAUGCCGAAGCAGACAGGACAGAUGUGGGCUCCUAGCCCUGCCCUGUCACUCUCGCCGUGUGGCCUGGGAUGCACUCCAUCUGCCUGGCCACCAUCUCCUCCUCUGUGAUGCAAGUACUUGCAGCCGGAGGUCUCCUUGCCCCUUCCUCGGAGGCCUCCCUCUGUCGCGCCCUCUGGGUCUCCUGCCCCGCAGAGUGUGACUCCCUCAGAGCAGCCGCUCCGAGUUGGACUUUCCAGGGAUGCUGGGAGCCCCUUGCCCAGGGGCUGGACAUACAUGCUGGAAGCGUGAAUGAACUCACAAGAAAUGCCUCCUCCGAGUUGAGUGUAGCAGUGGCCAGUGAAAGCAUGGAGUUUGCAGACCAGGGGAAAUAGCAAACACGCCCAAAUACCUCCUAUUGUGUCUACCACCGGUGGGUUCCCCAUGCCCAUUAAUUAGCAUUUUAAAGGCUCUGGGAAGUCCUGCAGUGAAAGAAACCUAUUUACCUUUGUUUUUGCCAGUGUUUUCCAAACCUAUCUGAGUAUAAUUUAGUUUUGGCCUAUCACCUAUUCCCUUUUCAUGACACACUUGGGAAACGUGGUAUUAGGUCUACUUGCCUUUUCAGGCAGGUUUGUUUAAAAUAAGGUCAAAUUUGGUAAAGAUACUAAGCUUUCGAGGCCACUGUGGCCUGUGAGGGAGCCCUUGUCUCUUCACUCCCGCACUCUGAGCCGAGGCCCGCCGCCUCCCUGAGGCCAGGUGCAGACUGCACAGGUUGUACGGAGUCUUGCCCCCUUGUGUAGGGGAUGCCAUUUGAUCCGUGCGGCAUUCAUCUCCCAACAUUCCACAAACAGUGUGUCUAGUCAUGUGUUUCCUCCUUCCGCAUACUGUGCAGCAGGGUCACGGGGCUAAGGAGUCCAGCCCAGCAGUAAUUCAUAGGAAAGAGACCCGGCUUUAUUGGCAUGUCUGUCCCCAAAGUCAAUAAAAUCUCAGGCAACAAUAAGAGAAGUUCAGAUACUGAUCUAGGGGCGACAGUUCCUGUCCUCAGGGCUGCCGGACCUCAUCUGGAGUGCUCGGUCUGUUCUGUUUCUAACAGGGCUGUUGUUCAAGUUGAGUGUGUGCAGAAGGGAAAGCAGAGGGUGAAGGGUCUGGAAAUUAUGUCAGAAGAGAAGGAGCUGCCAGAACAGGAAUAUUUAGCCUCACAAAAGGAAGGCCUGGGGGAGCCUGUGGUAGCUGUUCUCAAAUAUCGGAGAAGCUGUCAUCUGGAGAUUGGGCACGUCCUGUGA